UCCUCUCAGGAGGAUACGAUUCUCAGGA
rnacentral:piRNA from 1 species